AUCAUUAAUAUUUCUAUUAAAACAUUACAUUUUCAUUGUAAUAAUAAAAUAUAUUAUUUUUAUAAAUA
rnacentral:tRNA from 1 species